GGACAUUUGGGUUGUUUGCAUGUCUUGGCUGUUGUGAAUAGUGCUACGAUGUCAAUAGUUCAUUCUUUUUUAUUGAUAAGUGAUGUUAUUUUUUUUUUUUUAGUCUUUUUAGGGCCACACCCACAGCAGAUGGAAUUUCCCAGGCUAGGGGUGGAAUCAGAGCUGUAGCUGCAGGCCUAUGCCACAGUCACAGCAAUGCAUGCCUGUGACUGUCAGUGCAGCUCACAGUAACACUAGAUCCUUAACCCACUGAGUGAGGGCAGGGAUCGAACCUCCAUCUUCAUGGAUACUAGUUGGGUUCACUACCACUGAGCCACAAUGGGAACUCCCAGUAAUAUUCUUUAUAUGGAUUUAUUGUACUUUAUUUGGUCAUUCACUUGCUAUAUUUAUAAGCUUUUUGUUGUUUCCAGUUUUGCACCAUUAUAAAUCGGACUGGUAAAGAUUCAUGUAUCAAUGCUUGGGUAGAUAUGUUUUUACUUCUCUUGAGUGAUACUGGGAGUGGAAUUGUUGAAGUGUAUGUUUAACUUUAUUUUUUUAAAUAUCAAACUGUUUUCCAAAGUAGUUGUACCUUUUUCCACAUCUACCAGCAGUGAAUGAGAUUUCAGUUGUUCCACAUCCUCUUCAACAUUUGGCAUGACAGUCUUUUAUUUGUUUGUUGGGUUAUUGAGGCACGAUUAACAUAUAAUAAAAUUCAUCCUUCUUAGAUAUACAGCUAUAUAACAUUAUUAUUAUUAUUAUUAUUAUUUGUCUUUUGAGGGCUACACCCAGACCUGGGAACCUCCAUGUGCCACAGGAGCGGCCCUAGAAAAGGCAAAAAGACGAAAAAAAAAAAAAAAAAAAGGCCAGAAACCAUCAUUUAUAACCACCAUUUUUUUCUCUGAUUCAAUUAAGAUUUAUCUCUCGUUAUAUUCUUGCAGUAGUUUCUUACUGCAUGGUUAGUCUCCAUGAUUGUGACUUUGCUCCUCUGCAGACCAGUCUUGAUAUGGCAGCCAGCAUGAAACAGUUAAAACAGAAGUCAGAUCAUGUCAGUCCUGUAUCUAAAACCUCACGAUGGCUUCCCAUUUCACUCUAAGUAAAAGCCAGUUCCUUUUAAUGACCUACAAGAUACCAUAGAAUCUUCAUGCACACAUAUGCCGCUUAGGCGAUGUCUAACCUCAUCUCCUGAUACUUUUCUCCUCACUCUGCUCUUGCUCUGAUAGCCUCCUUGUUAGUUCUCAAAUAUACCAGGUACAGGCUCAUCUCAAGGCCCCUGCACCUGAUAGCAACUCUUCCUAGAAGGCCCUUUGCCAGAUGUCUGUAUUCUUUGUUCUUUUCUCUUCCUCAGGUCUUUAUUCAAGUCAUUUUAAGUUCACCUUCUCAUAGAGGCCUUUCCUAUUUAAGACUGUGAUUUCACUCUCUCACUACCCCCGCCACUCUACCACCAAACCGAAAUCAAAGCAAAGCUCUAUCCUUUUCCCCAUUUGAUUUUCCUCUGAAGAAUUUGUUUUCCUCUACUAAUUUCAUAUCUUACAUAUCUUGCUUAAUUUGUUCCCUCCACUAGAAAAUGAUAUUCAUGAGAGUAGAGAUUUUGCCCGUUUUGUAAACAAAUUUAUUCUUAGUGCCUAGAACAGUUCCUAGCUCAUGAUAGGCCUUCAGUAAGUAUUGCUGAAGGAAGAGGUGUAAUCGCUACCUGUUUGCCUUAGUUUUAAGUACUGACAGGAUAAUGGCCAUUUCUAUGUGAACUGUUGUACAAGGCAAUCUGAUGUGUCAUUAACAGUUGGGAUUUCUAAAAGUUUUUGAUCAGUGGUUUAAAGAUGUGUUGUACAUAUUAGAUAUAAACUUUGUACCUUUCAAUGAAGCAGAAAAAGGAUGUAUCCUAAAAGUGUUCUUGGUUUUGGAUCUCUUCACUUCACAAUAUAGAUUAAUAGAUACCCGAUGAUAAAGAUCUGUCUCUGAUAACCUGUUAUCCAGGAUGAUGGUGAUGAUGAUGAUACCAAGUAUGGAGAGGUAAACUUUGAGCCAGUGCCAAAGUUUCUGAUCACAAGUUGCUAGUAAGACUCAAGGCAACCGGGUUUAUCAAGAAAUGCAGAAGCCACUUGAGAAUGGUCAAAGUAGCUCAACAGAACAUGUUGGAGAGCAGAGUUUUAGUAAACGGACAGUUGGCUCCCAGUUGGAAAAGUGUGUUGUGACUUUUACAGAGAACUUAAUGUCUCUAUAUAGGGACAGAGUAAACCUCUUUUUUUCCAGCAGAGUACAGUAGAGCAUGAUGAGAUAUGGAGAGUUUGGGAAAUCAGUGGAUACCAGAUGAAUGGGACAGCUUGGAUAAUGCAUGUCCAUAUACCCAGGAGAGAGAGGCAGGAGAAGUCCUCCCUGCAGUUGUGAUAGGCCACAUAGAGUAUUUUGUGUAACAACAGCAGCAAAAGAUACUCCACCCCUGUAACCUAAAAUUCGAAUCUAUAACUUCAGUAGCUCGUCUUAAGAAGUGGCAGAGAUAUCUGAAGUAAGAUAGCCAGGGCUAAUUAGUCCCCUUUGUUGCUUGCUUCAUAUCCUUUUUCUUCAUCUCCUUUCUCAACAUUGUUGUCUGUGCUUAGGAGGGCUUUAGACCCACAAAAACCCAAAGAAAGGAGGAUGAUCGGUGAAGGAUCUAGGCUGUUGAAACUCCCUCUUAUUUUACAGAGGGCAACUGGCAACAGUUCACUAUUCUUAAGAAGUAAAUUGCCUGGACAGGGAUCAUAGGAUUUAAUGGUUCAAUGUGUGACUGGCUAAUUGCAUAAAUGCUAGGGUUGGGUGGCCUAGAUAGGACAACUGACUCCUUAAAAUGUGGACUUUUUUUUUUUUUUAAUUUCUCAAUCUGGAACAGAAGAAAAUAGCUGUGGUUUUAUUUUAGUUUUACUCUGUAAUGUGCUAGGAAGCAUAGGUUUCAGGGAUUUCUUUAUUGUGGCUCCUGCUCUUUAUAAGGUAAUGGAACCAAAAAAAAAAAAAAA
rnacentral:lncRNA from 1 species